AUUGAACGCUGGCGGAAUGCUUUACACAUGCAAGUCGAACGGCAGCACGGGGGCAACCCUGGUGGCGAGUGGCGAACGGGUGAGUAAUACAUCGGAACGUGCCCAUGUCGUGGGGGAUAACGUAGCGAAAGCUACGCUAAUACCGCAUACGAUCUACGGAUGAAAGCGGGGGAUCGCAAGACCUCGCGCGAUUGGAGCGGCCGAUGGCAGAUUAGGUAGUUGGUGGGGUAAAGGCUCACCAAGCCAACGAUCUGUAGCUGGUCUGAGAGGACGACCAGCCACACUGGGACUGAGACACGGCCCAGACUCCUACGGGAGGCAGCAGUGGGGAAUUUUGGACAAUGGGCGAAAGCCUGAUCCAGCCAUUCCGCGUGCAGGAUGAAGGCCCUCGGGUUGUAAACUGCUUCUGUACGGAACGAAAAGCCUUCUUCUAAUACAGGAGGGUCAUGACGGUACCGUAAGAAUAAGCACCGGCUAACUACGUGCCAGCCGCCGCCGUAACAC
rnacentral:rRNA from 1 species